GUGGUCCACGCAGCUGAGACAGGUGUCAGGUCUAAGGAAAACUUCAAUAAUUUGUCGGUUAAAAUGUCCAGGAGUUAGUUAUUGGUAGGGAGAAGAAACUACUAAACUACCGAGUAGUUGUGGGAGAGAAGUUACGUGCGGGAGGAGCGUUUCCGUUCUAAUUAACGUGGUUUAUCCAGGCUCUUUUCUCUGAGGGAUGAUUCUUCAGGGUGACAACGUUGGGUUUGGUCUGCUGUCGAGAUCAUCAUCGCAGACUGUGGAUACCUCCGCCCCUUCUGAUAGAGUGCUGUUCCAAGGAGAGUGCAGAGGAAUCAGCUCCGACUCUCCAUGGGCUUCAUUGGAAGGGACAAAGUCACCAUUUGAUUUGGUACUG